rnacentral:rRNA from 1 species
UACGUAGGGUGCGAGCGUUGUCCGGAAUUAUUGGGCGUAAAGGGCUCGUAGGCGGUUUGUCGCGUCGGGAGUGAAAACACCGGGCUUAACUCGGUGCUUGCUUUCGAUACGGGCAGACUAGAGGCAUGCAGGGGAGAACGGAAUUCCUGGUGUAGCGGUGAAAUGCGCAGAUAUCAGGAGGAACACCGGUGGCGAAGGCGGUUCUCUGGGCAUGUCCUGACGCUGAGGAGCGAAAGUGGGGGGAGCGAACAGG